rnacentral:lncRNA from 1 species
UAAUUAUUCAAUGUUAUCAAGGCCUCUUGGGACUCCUCUUCCACCCCACAAAGCACAGGGACCUAGGCCUAUCAUUUUUUGUAUGCUUUUCUGUUUGUACUCAAUAAGUAUUUGGUAAAUUGAAUUGAAUUCUAUGUGCAGUUUUGGAAUGCCAACUAAUUUUUUGUUUUUUUAACUACAGCCUACUUGGGAUCAUUUGCCCUAUUGCUGGCAUCAGGAAAGAUAAGCUAAGCUAAGAUUAAAAUCUGUCAAUCCAAUUUGCCAGCAGCAGUACUAGAAAGUGUGGUGAAGGAGGUUUAGGGGGAUCCUUUGUAAAAUUUAGAAUUUUAGCUACUCAAGCCAUUAUUCUUUCUUGUAACUAAAGGUAAUGGAGUUG